AUUAACGUCAUGGUUAACAAUUUAAUUAUAAUUUUGAUUGGUUCCUGUUAGUCCAAACAAAAGCUAGAGAAGCUUUUCUAAAAGGAAUUGCUGCCACUAGUAAGUCUGAAAUUGACCUGUCAAGUUGGAGAAAUUCUGAGCUCAUCUAUCCCUGCUAUUGUUGCACAAUUUCUAGUUACUUGAGUGUUAUCUCGGUGGUUUAAGCGAGGG
rnacentral:lncRNA from 1 species